rnacentral:rRNA from 1 species
AGAGUUUGAUUAUGGCUCAGGAUGAACGCUAGCGAUAGGCCUAACACAUGCAAGUCGAGGGGCAGCACAUGAAGUAGCAAUACGGAUGGUGGCGACCGGCGCACGGGUGAGUAACGCGUAUGCAACCUGCCUACAACAGGGGAAUAACCCGUUGAAAGACGGACUAAUACCCCAUAACACAGGGAUCCCGCAUGGGAAUAUUUGUUAAAGAUUUAUCGGUUGUAGAUGGGCAUGCGUUCCAUUAGCUUGUUGGUGAGGUAACGGCUCACCAAGGCAACGAUGGAUAGGGGAACUGAGAGGUUUAUCCCCCACACUGGUACUGAGACACGGACCAGACUCCUACGGGAGGCAGCAGUGAGGAAUAUUGGUCAAUGGACGCAAGUCUGAACCAGCCACGUCGCGUGAAGGAAGACGGCCCUACGGGUUGUAAACUUCUUUUGUAAGGGAAUGAAGUGUAGUACGUGUACUAUUUUGCAUGUACCUUACGAAUAAGGAUCGGCUAACUCCGUGCCAGCAGCCGCGGUAAUACGGAGGAUCCGAGCGUUAUCCGGAUUUAUUGGGUUUAAAGGGUGCGCAGGCGGGAGAUUAAGUCGGCGGUGAAAUUUUGCAGCUCAACUGUAAAAGUGCCUUCGAAACUGGUUUUCUUGAGUGUGGAUGAAGUAGGCGGAAUUUGUGGUGUAGCGGUGAAAUGCAUAGAUAUCACGAGGAACUCCGAUUGCGCAGGCAGCUUACUAAACCAUAACUGACGCUCAGGCACGAAGGCGUGGGGAUCAAACAGGAUUAGAUACCCUGGUAGUC